CAAUAGCGUAUACUAAAGUUGUUGCAGUUAAAAAGCUCGUAGUUGAAUUUCUGGUUGUGAAAGACGGUCCAUUCCUCAAGGAAUGCGUUACUAUUCAUUCAUGGCCAUCCUCGGGGAGAAUGUGUGUUACUUUCAGUAGUCGCGCACAGGAACCCCGUCAUUUACUGUGAGCAAAAUAGAGUGUUCAAAGCAGGCUUAUGCCGUUGAAUAUAUUAGCAUGGAAUAAUAAGAUAUGACUUUGGUCUAUUUUGUUUGGUUUGUCUUUCCUAAAGUAAUGAUUAAUAGGGAUAGUUGGGGGUAGUUCGUAUUCAAUUGUUCAGAGGUGAAAUUCUUGGAUUUAUGGAAGACGAACUACUGCGAAAGCAUUUACCAAGGAUGUUUUCUAUUAAUCAAGAACGAAAGUUAAGGGG
rnacentral:rRNA from 1 species